rnacentral:rRNA from 1 species
GACGAACGCUGGCGGCGUGCUUAACACAUGCAAGUCGAACGGAAAGGCCCCUUUGGGGGUCCUCGAGUGGCGAACGGGUGAGUAACACGUGAGUAACCUGCCCUUGACUUCGGGAUAACUUCAGGAAACUGGGGCUAAUACCGGAUAGGAAUCCUUGCUGCAUGGUGGGGGUUGGAAAGCUUCGGCGGUUUUGGAUGGACUCGCGGCUUAUCAGCUUGUUGGUGGGGUAGUGGCUUACCAAGGCUUUGACGGGUAGCCGGCCUGAGAGGGCGACCGGCCACAUUGGGACUGAGAUACGGCCCAGACUCCUACGGGAGGCAGCAGUGGGGAAUAUUGCACAAUGGGCGGAAGCCGGAUGCAGCAACGCCGCGGGCGGGAUGACGGCCUUCGGGUUGUAAACCGCUUUCAGCAGGGGCGAAGCUUGUGGUGACGGUACCUGCAGAAGAAGCACCGGCUAACUACGUG